GACGAACGCUGGCGGCGUGCUUAACACAUGCAAGUCGAACGGAAAGACCCUGCUUUUGUGCGUUUCUCGAGUGCCGAACGCGUGAGUAAAACGUGAGUAACAUGCCCUUAACUUUCGGAUAACUUCACGAAACUGGGGCUAAUACCGGAUAGGAGCUACUGCUGCAUGGUGUGGGUUGGAAAGUUUCGGCUGUUGGGGAUGGACUCGCGGCUUCUCCGCUUGUUGGGGGGGUAGUGGCUUACGAAGGCUUUGACGGGUAGCCGGCCUGAGAGGGUGACCGGCCACAUUGGGACUGAGAUACGGCCCAGACUGCUACGGGAGGCAGAAGGGGGGAAUAUUGCACAAUGGGCGGAAGCCUGAUGCAGCAACGCCGCGUGCGGGAUGACGGCCUUCGGGUUGUAAACCGCUUUCGCCUGUGACGAAGCGUGAGUGACGGUAAUGGGUAAAGAAGCACCGGCUAACUACGUG
rnacentral:rRNA from 1 species